CAACUUGAGAGUUUGAUCCUGGCUCAGAACGAACGCUGGCAGCAGGUUUAACACAUGUACGUCGAGCGCCCCGCAAGGGGAGCGGCAGACGGGUGAGUAACGCGUGGGAACCUACCCAUCGCUAGGGAAUAACUCAGGGAAAGUUGUGC
rnacentral:rRNA from 1 species